rnacentral:tRNA from 1 species
GGGGCGGUGGCUCAGUAGUAGCGCCUCCGCUUCAUUUGCGGGUUAACCUGGGUUCCAUUCCCGGCUGCUUCC